AUUUAUAUAGUUUAAUAUUAAAACAUUAUAUUUUCAUUAUAAAAAAAAGAUUUUUUUCUUUAUAAAUA
rnacentral:tRNA from 1 species